ACCUAUAGCUAGGGGUGUCUGAUUUCUGAUGCGAUCGGGCUGAGAAAGUCCCUUAGAACCUGAGACUGGGUAAUACCAGCGUAGGGAAGCUGUUUAUUGAGGAA
rnacentral:ncRNA from 2 species